rnacentral:lncRNA from 1 species
AAGCAUAUGAAAUGAAAGGAGAUUCUUGUUGCGAUCCUAAUUAUUUCUAUGACCUGCUUUCCAUCUUCGUGGCUGAAUCUGAAAUCACCUUAUCAGACAUGGGUAAAGCUUUGUAUGUGUGCAUAAUAUAUAUCUCGAUAUAGAUUUGAGUAGUUAUUAACCAUAUUUGAUUAAUUGAUGGGUUUUAGUUAUUUAUUCUUCUUCUCUUAAUUUGUAGGGACAAAGUAUCUGAUAUAGAUUUUCUUAAAAUUUGUGCACUUUGCAUCAACAUUAAAGGAGCCUCCUCAAGGUAUA